UUGAUUACGUCCCUGCCCUUUGUACACACCGCCCGUCGCUGCCCGGGACUGAGCCAUUUCGAGAAAUUUGGGGACCGUUGAUUUAAUUUUUCUAAAUUACUUUGAUGGAAACCAAUUUAAUCGCAGUGGCUUGAACCGGGCAAAAGUCGUAACAAGGUAGCUGUAGGUGAACCUGCUGCUGGAUCAUUA
rnacentral:rRNA from 2 species